rnacentral:rRNA from 1 species
UACAGAGGGUGCAAGCGUUAAUCGGAAUUACUGGGCGUAAAGCGUGCGUAGGCGGAUACUUAAGUCAGAUGUGAAAGCCCUGGGCUUAACCUAGGAAUUGCAUCUGAAACUGGGAGUCUAGAGUGUGGUAGAGGAUGGCGGAAUUUCCGGUGUAGCGGUGAAAUGCGUAGAUAUCGGAAGGAACACCAGUGGCGAAGGCGGCCAUCUGGGCCAACACUGACGCUGAGGCACGAAAGCGUGGGUAGCGAACAGG